UCGGACGUGGUGCACGGUGCACAGCUGCAUUCCAUCUCCGGGGAAUUGAUAUCGCUCUGCGGCAGGACGGGGUUCGAUUCCCCGCGUCCGAA